CCCUUAGAUGUUCUGGGCUGCACGCGUGCUACAAUGAAGGAGGCAACAAGUGGAAAGAAGGGGGGGAGACCUCCCGGGCAGCUUUAUCGAAAGAUGGGGCAAAUCUUUUGAAACCCCUUUGUAGUAUGGAUUGUCGAUUGAAAUUAUUUGACAUGAAACAGGAAUGCCUAGUAAACGCGAUUCAUCAGAUCGCAUUGAUUACGUCCCUGCUCUUUGUACACACCGCCCGUCGCUCCUACCGAUUGAAAUAAACGGUGAAAAUUCUGGAGGGUGAAUGUUUAGCCAAGCGGAGCAAUUCGGUUGGUGGUUCGUCCAAAGUUAUUUAAAUCUCUUGUUUUAGAGGAAGGAGAAGUCGUAACA
rnacentral:rRNA from 1 species